rnacentral:rRNA from 1 species
CCUACGGGUGGCUGCAGUGGGGAAUAUUGCACAAUGGGGGAAACCCUGAUGCAGCGACGCCGCGUGACGGAAGAAGGAUUUCUGUAUUUAAACUUCUAUCAGCAGGGAAGAAAAUGUCGGUACCUGUCUACGAAGCCCCGGCUAACUACGUGCCAGCACCCGCGGUACUACGCCGGGGGCAAGCGUUAUCCGGAUUUACUGGGUGUAAUGGGAGCGUAGGCGGUGCAGCAAGUGAGCAGUGAAAGCCCGGGGCUAAACGACGAGACUGCCGUUGAAACUGUUGAACUAGAGUGCACGAGAGGUAAGUGGAAUGCCUAGUGUAGCGGUGAAAUGCGUAGAUAUGAGGAGGAACACCAGUGGCGAAGGCGGCUUACUGGACUGUAAAUGACGCUGAGGCUCGAAAGCGUGGGGAGCAAACAGGAUUAGAUACCCCUGUAGUC